GAUGAACGCUGGCGGCGUGCCUAAUACAUGCAAGUCGAGCGAACGGACGAGAAGCUUGCUUCUCUGAUGUUAGCGGCGGACGGGUGAGUAACACGUGGAUAACCUACCUAUAAGACUGGGAUAACUUCGGGAAACCGGAGCUAAUACCGGAUGAUAUUUUGAACCGCAUGGUUCAAAAGUGAAAGACGGUCUUGCUGUCACUUAUAGAUGGAUCCGCGCUGCAUUAGCUAGUUGGUAAGGUAACGGCUUACCAAGGCAACGAUGCAUAGCCGACCUGAGAGGGUGAUCGGCCACACUGGAACUGAGACACGGUCCAGACUCCGACGGGAGGCAGCAGUAGGGAAUCUUCCGCGAUGGGCGAAAGCCUGACGGAGCGACGCCGCGUGAGUGAUGAAGGUCUUCGGAUCGUAAAACUCUGUUAUUAGGGAAGAACAUAUGUGUAAGUAACUGUGCACAUCUUGACGGUACCUAAUCAGAAAGCCACGGCUAACUACGUG
rnacentral:rRNA from 1 species